UGAUGUCUCCUACUCAAUCCCUCGCUCGCUCGGUGAGAUCCAAGGCGGCCGCGUUGGCUGGGAGCGGACCCACGCGGGAGGAGGAGUUCGGCGAGCGUGAGCUGGAGGUGGCAGCCAUUCUCGCGGACCUGUCGUCCAUCGUGGGCGCGGCCGGAGAUCCCCUCGUGGAGCCGGCGCCGGCCGAGGAAGGCCCUAGCGGCUCUGCCGGCCAAGAAGCCCGCGGCCGAUAGCCCGGACACCCCGCUCGCCUUCCUCGACGACGACGAGGCGGCGGCAGCGCAGGACAAGUCGGCGUAGGAGCAGCGCGGCGAUUUUGAUGAGUAGGAGAUGGAGCGCGUCACAAGCACCUUGGCUGCACCCUGAGGUUAUCCAUCAGGCAAACUGUCAUCGCACUGUCGUUCACGAUGCUACUCCCAAGCCUCCUGACGAGAUUGUGCGAGUUGCAACUUACAUGACGCAGAUUCUUUUGCUAUACUUCGGAAGCCGGCAAUAGCAGCGGCAACGUCGACGCAGCCACGGGCUGGACAAAACUUGAUUAGCUUAUUACUGCAUCAAUAAUUUGUGCCUGUAGGACUCUUUCACAAAUCAUGUCAACGAGACUAGCAAUUUGAAGAGGCUGCUGCACAUGAUAUGAAGAUAUUGGCAUAUACAGUCCCAAACAUAAGUUUCAAAAUAGCAGGUGUGGAGUUUAGCCCUGUUUCGCUGUAUGGAACGCCAUGACCUCCACACAGAUGAUGCAAGAGGAAACAAGCUAGACUCACAACUUUGGUUUUCAGGCAUCUUCACCAACAAAUAUUACCCUGGUACUGACAGCAAAUCAAGGACUUUAGAGCCUGGCCGCAGACCUCACGGAGCACCAACGAUAGCCUCAAGGUGAUUCAGCAGAGCAAGGUGAUGAGUACUCAGCUGGCUGGUCAAUAUCAAUGAUCUUAUCGGCCGGCAAAGCAGAGACGGACGACCACGGUCCCGACCUUGCCAACAGGCGAUGGGAUCAAGGGAAAUUGGUCGGGCUCCAGCGGCACAUGCUUAGCACUGCUGACUGUUGCCGGGAAAGGUAUGUUGGUUUGAUUCUUUCAAGAUCCCAAACUAAAACAAGUCACCUAUGACAUUUGAAUGAUGCAAAGGUUUGUUGUCUCUUCCCAAGAAAUUGUGUGCAGAGAAGCUGCCUUGAUUUUA